UCAGAAACAAAAGGCCAAAAGGCUUUCAUAGAAGAUGUCUUUGCAGGCUGCACUGGCUUUCAGGGGACCACUGUAGCGCUCCCUCAUCCUGUCCUGAGAGGAAAUGAGGAGCUGCAUGAGAGUGCAUCUGCUUGGCAGUUUCAAGGCCUCGGGCACGAAGUCAUCUAUGUGAAGGACUGCAAACGUGUCCAAUAUGUCAGGGAUGUCAUCUGCAGGAGAACACAACAACACAAACAUGAUCCAGUGUGGCAGGUGAACUUCAUUUAACUUCCCAGCAGUGACUGUGACGUCCAUCAGAGGACCUGCAG